ACUCCUACGGGAGGCAGCAGUGGGGAAUAUUGCACAAUGGGGAAACCCUGAUGCAGCCAUGCCGCGUGUGUGAAGAAGGCCUUCGGUUGUAAAGCACUUUCAGUAGGGAGGAAGGUAGUGUAGUUAACACCUGCAUUAUUUGACGUUACCUACAGAAGAAGCACCGGCUAACUCCGUGCCAGCAGCCGCGGUAAUACGGAGGGGUGCGAGCGUUAAUCGGAAUUACUGGGCGUAAAGCGCAUGCAGGCGGCCUGUUAAGUCAGAUGUGAAAGCCCGGGGGCUUAACCUCGGAAUUGCAUUUGAAACUAGGCAGGCUAGAGUCUGUAGAGGGGGUAGGAAUUUCAGGUGUAGCGGUGAAAUGCGUAGAGAUCUGAAGGAAUACCAGUGGCGAAGGCGGCCCCUGGACAAAGACGUGACGCUCAGAUGCGAAAGCGUGGGAGCGAAAC
rnacentral:rRNA from 1 species